rnacentral:rRNA from 1 species
GAUGAACGCUGGCGGCGUGCCUAAUACAUGCAAGUCGAGCGAACAGACGAGGAGCUUGCUUUUCUGAUGUUAGCGGCGGACGGGUGAGUAACACGUGGAUAACCUACCUAUAAGACUGGGAUAACUUCGGGAAACCGGAGCUAAUACCGGAUAAUAUUUUGAACCGCAUGGUUCAAUAGUGAAAGACGGUCUUGCUGUCACUUAUAGAUGGAUCCGCGCUGCAUUAGCUAGUUGGUAAGGUAACGGCUUACCAAGGCAACGAUGCAUAGCCGACCUGAGAGGGUGAUCGGCCACACUGGAACUGAGACACGGUCCAGACUCCUACGGGAGGCAGCAGUAGGGAAUCUUCCGCAAUGGGCGAAAGCCUGACGGAGCAACGCCGCGUGAGUGAUGAAGGUCUUCGGAUCGUAAAACUCUGUUAUUAGGGAAGAACAAAUGUGUAAGUAACUGUGCACAUCUUGACGGUACCUAAUCAGAAAGCCACGGCUAACUACGUG